rnacentral:lncRNA from 1 species
GAUUGUAUUUUGAUUUGUUUUUUCUUUAGUAAAGGAAAACAAGUUAAUGAAUUUCUACCAAAAAAAAUUAAAUGGCCACGGAGCAAUGUUACGUAGUAGUCUCAGAAUGUAAAGGAAGGAUGCUCGUAAGUUGUGCUCGUCGACUGUAAUAUAUAUAGUGAAGAUAAUGAAAUUAAAGAGAUUUUGAAUGAACUUUUUUCAGAAGGUGAAUAUGUCAAUUACUCAACUCUUUACAAAAGUAAAUUGUUUAAUCAUGAGUGUUUUUUUAGUUGGGGCUAGUGUAAAGAUCACAGAGGAAAAUGUUUGAGUGAAAGAGACGAAGGAGAAGAAAGGGUUGAGAGGAAUGAAGGAGGUGAGUAAGGGAUUGGGGUUUCUUUUUUUAGUUUUGAGAAUGAAAAUUAUUAAAAUAAGGCAAGUGUUUCUGAUUUUUUUUUUCAAUUAGGGUUAGAGUAGGGAUGACAGAGAAAAGGUUGGAGUGAAAGAGAUGAAAGAGAAAGGGUUGAGAGGAAUGAGAGAGGUGAGUAAGGGUUUGGGGUUUCUUUUCUUAUUUUUUUAAUUUUGAGAAUGAAAAUUAUUAAAAUACCCUUAAUCUUAAAACUUAGAAUUCAUGAUAUAAGGGUAUUUUUGUCUACAGAAACCUGGUACAGAUUAC